rnacentral:rRNA from 1 species
UACGUAGGGGGCGAGCGUUGUCCGGAUUUAUUGGGCGUAAAGAGCUUGUAGGCGGUCUGUCGCGUCUGCUGUGAAAAUCCGGGGCUCAACCCCGGACUUGCAGUGGGUACGGGCAGACUAGAGUGUGGUAGGGGAGACUGGAAUUCCUGGUGUAGCGGUGAAAUGCGCAGAUAUCAGGAGGAACACCGAUGGCGAAGGCAGGUCUCUGGGCCACUACUGACGCUGAGAAGCGAAAGCAUGGGGAGCGAACAGG